rnacentral:rRNA from 1 species
UACGAAGGGGGCUAGCGUUGCUCGGAAUCACUGGGCGUAAAGGGUGCGUAGGCGGGUCUUUAGGUCAGGGGGGAAAUCCUGGAGCUCAACUCCAGAACUGCCUUUGAUACUGAGGAUCUUGAGUUCGGGAGAGGUGAGUGGAACUGCGAGUGUAGAGGUGAAAUUCGUAGAUAUUCGCAAGAACACCAGUGGCGAAGGCGGCUCACUGGCCCGGAACUGACGCUGAGACGCGAAAGCGUGGGGAGCAAACAGG